CGGCCUCGGGGUUCAGCCAGCAUUCGUGCUGGUGUACUUCCCCGGGGCCGAGCGAGCGUCGAUUUGGGCGGCCGGUCAAAGGCCCCAGGAGUGUGAUUCGUCCUUUGGUUCGUCUGAUAGCCUGGGGACCAAUGCGGCCAGCG
rnacentral:rRNA from 1 species